GGCUAACCCAAGGUUGAGAAAACCGUUAAAAUUACAACACAUUGGCGGCAGCUGCUGAACAAGCUUCAGAGGCUCUCUGCUGACAGGCGAUCAAGUCCCACUGUGUGGGUUCUGGGUUAGUUUCCUUUUCUCUGAGGCAGUUUCUGAAUCUUCCUUAAAGUGAAACAGCCCAAAGCAAAGCCAUCUGCAUACUCAAAACUGACAAGUGACUUGAAUUUUGUUACAUCAUCAGAGAUUGCGUAAUGAACCCCAGAAAGCAAAAAUAGCAAUGAAGUUGAUGCAACAAGUGAAAAGGAAACUAAAUGCAAGCUGCCAAACGGGAUUUCAGGAUCCAGCCUGGGAAUCCCCUCUGGCCUGGCCUCCUGGCUGAGUUGAGUGCACAGAGCAGAGGAUCGUCCUGACUGCCUGCCAGACACCUGUGUCUUCCUGGCUGAAACUCUGAGCUCCUAAAGUCCAGGGAAAACAAAGAAUCCAGUGAGGGUAGGGUCACGUGUCCAGGUCCUCCAGCUGCUGAUCAAGUCCCACAAGGAAUCAGGAGGCUCUCGUCCAGACCUGCAGAAGGCCCGUGGUGCUGAAGAGCUGGAAGGUCUGCUGGAGCAACUCGUGCACAACAGCUAUGGCUUCUGUCUUCUCAAGCCUGGUCCCGUGCACCAGGGUCUGAGGCUAUCUGAAGUCAGUCCUGUCCCUCAGACAGGACACAACGGGCACUCUCUCCAUCUGACUCCAACGUGUGAAGCUUUCCAGAUUGCCGUGGCGGCUCGCAGGCAGCUCACAGCCCAGGGAGCACAUGGGGCUGGAACAGAGCAUCACCAGGGCCAGCAGCACAGGGACGGGGAGGGCCACUGGGACGCUGGGGGCUCGCAGGACUGCCUGCAGGGGAGGUCUAGGCAAGGUCUGAGGGCUUGGGGUGAUGGGUGGCUCUUAAAGAGUGAGUAGAGAAACUUUCAUUUUCUGGGUUUUCCACAGUUUGCCCUUUCCUUUCUUUUUCUACUCUUUGUAAUGAAAUCAAUAAAAGUGCUAAUUUUUGCCA